GACGAACGCUGGCGGCGUGCCUAAUACAUGCAAGUAGAACGCACAGUUUAUACCGUAGCUUGCUACACCAUAGACUGUGAGUUGCGAACGGGUGAGUAACGCGUAGGUAACCUGCCUGGUAGCGGGGGAUAACUAUUGGAAACGAUAGCUAAUACCGCAUAAUAUUAAUUAUUGCAUGAUAAUUAAUUGAAAGGUGCAAUUGCACCACUACCAGAUGGACCUGCGUUGUAUUAGCUAGUAGGUGAGGUAACGGCUCACCUAGGCGACGAUACAUAGCCGACCUGAGAGGGUGAUCGGCCACACUGGGACUGGGACACGGCCCAGACUCCUACGGGAGGCAGCAGUAGGGAAUCUUCGGCAAUGGACGAAAGUCUGACCGAGCAACGCCGCGUGAGUGAAGAAGGUUUUCGGAUCGGAAAGCUCUGUUGUAAGAGAAGAACGGGUGUGAGAGUGGAAAGUUCACACUGUGACGGUAUCUUACCAGAAAGGGACGGCUAACUACGUG
rnacentral:rRNA from 1 species